rnacentral:lncRNA from 1 species
AUCAAAAACUCCCUUGUUCAAACACCUAAAAACGACGUCGGAGAACAUGUCAAUACACAGGACAGAAUCUAUCACCAAAUGCUCACCAGUUCAAAAUGACCUGCUUAACUAUAAAGCCAAAAAAAACUAAUGUGAAUAAAUGGAUUCGAGAUCAGAUCGAGAGAGAAACCGACGAAAUGAGGAGAACGAGUUGUUAGAGCUUACCAGAAGAAGAAGUUGUUUUCAAAUAAUCACAGCGAGAUUUGUAGAUUAAGAACCCGACAAGAUUUAGGGAUCCACCAAUCGCUCUGUCCUUUCCGUUUGACAAACUGGAGACGACGAAAAGAUAUCAAUAAAUGACAGAGUAAACAGGUAAGCCCUUUUUUUUUAGGGAA